rnacentral:rRNA from 1 species
CCUACGGGAGGCAGCAGUGGGGAAUAUUGGACAAUGGGCGGAAGCCUGAUCCAGCCAUGCCGCGUGUGUGAAGAAGGCCUUUUGGUUGUAAAGCACUUUAAGCGAGGAGGAGGCUACUAGUAUUAAUACUACUGGAUAGUGGACGUUACUCGCAGAAUAAGCACCGGCUAACUCUGUGCCAGCAGCCGCGGUAAUACAGAGGGUGCGAGCGUUAAUCGGAUUUACUGGGCGUAAAGCGUGCGUAGGCGGCUGAUUAAGUCGGAUGUGAAAUCCCUGAGCUUAACUUAGGAAUUGCAUUCGAUACUGGUCAGCUAGAGUAUGGGAGAGGAUGGUAGAAUUCCAGGUGUAGCGGUGAAAUGCGUAGAGAUCUGGAGGAAUACCGAUGGCGAAGGCAGCCAUCUGGCCUAAUACUGACGCUGAGGUACGAAAGCAUGGGGAGCAAACAGGAUUAGAUACCCUGGUAGUCCAUGCCGUAAACGAUGUCUACUAGCCGUUGGGGUCUUUGAGACUUUAGUGGCGCAGCUAACGCGAUAAGUAGACCGCCGUGGGGAGUACGGUCGCGAAGACUAAACUCAAAGUUGAAUUGACGAGNGAGAGAGCGACGACGACGAGACGGAGGGAGGAGG